UACGAGGGGUGCAAGCGUUGCUCGGAAUUAUUGGGCGUAAAGGGUAGGUAGGUGGUCUCAUUUGUCUGGGGUGAAAGCCUUGAGCUUAACUCAAGAAGUGCCCUAGAAACGGUGAGACUGGAGUCUUGGAGAGGGUCGUGGAAUUCCCGGUGUAGCGGUGAAAUGCGUAGAGAUCGGGAGGAACACCAGAGGCGAAGGCGGCGACCUGGACAAGCACUGAAACUCAACUACGAAAGCGUGGGUAGCAAACAGG
rnacentral:rRNA from 1 species